GGAUGUUCCUAUUAUAUUAUUCUCAGUAUGCAUGCUUGUAAUCAGAAUAAUAAUUUUAGAUAGGAAAUUACUAACAUUUUUCCAAUUAUUUUGCAUUUAUAUUAUGUGAAUGGGUGCAUCAAAUGCCAAGGGAUAAAAAUUCAGGUGCAAAACACAGUAUAUUUUAGUGAAGGGAAGCCCCCAAAAAGUUUUUCUCUAAUUUUGUUUUCAUGUUGAAAAUACAAAUGUAUGUACAUAUUGCAUAGAAGUAUAAUGAGAAAAUUUCAAAAAGUCUUAUUGUGUUAAAAAUGGUUACAACAUAUUGUAUCUACAAAAAAAAAAAUUGAGGACUGUUUGAAAGGGUUGUUUUCAAGGACUGAAUUACAAUGUGUUUGUUUUUAUGUUCAACAUUAUGUUAUAGUGUAUUAGAACUGUAAUUUUUUUUUUUCAUUCUUAUUUGUAUUACAUGAAUUUAUUGUUAAAUGUUAUCAGGGUGUUACAUAUCUGGGACUAUUUCUUGUCCAAUUGAAGAUUCUUGUAAUUUAGUGUUUCAAAGGUAUACCAUGUAGUAGAUAAUACUAAUAUAAUAUGUUUCACCUAUUUGGUGACAAGGGUCAAAGUAUAAUUUGUUUCAGUUGGUAACAAUGGUCAAUGUUUAACCUUUUUGUAAAACAGGUUAAGGUACAUGUAUAAAGUAUUUGGAACAAAGGUCAUUUUGUAACUUUUAAUCUAUUUGGGUAUGAAGCUGCAAGGUUGACAUGGAAAGAAGCCUAUAGAUACAUAUUUAUUCCAGGGUCAAAAGGUCAAAGACAAUUAUUUAUAUGUGCAAAGCGAUGAUCUUUGAAAGGAAGCAUGUUGUGAGAGAUUUCUCCUUUUUAGGUACUCAUGAAUUCUUUCCUUUUAAUUUCUUCAAUGCAUGCAGUGUGCUGUCACAUUUUUGGAAACACUGUAUAUGUCAAUCUAAAUGAAAAGAAAUACACUGCUUAUAUGUUAAAAAAAAAAGAAAAA